AUACGUAGGUGGCAAGCGUUAUCCGGAAUCAUUGGGCGUAAAGGGUGCGUAGGCGGCUUCUUAAGUUUGUAGUGAAAUCGUAGGGCUCAACUCUAUCUAGCUACAAAAACUGGGAGGCUGGAGUGCGGUAGAGGCUAGUGGAAUUCCUAGUGUAGCGGUAAAAUGCGUAGAUAUUAGGAGGAACACCGGUGGCGAAGGCGACUAGCUGGGCCGUAACUGACGCUGAGGCACGAAAGCGUGGGGAGAAAAUAGGAUUAGAUACCCUAGUAGGCCACGCCGUAAACGAUGAAUACUAAGUGUUGGAGAAAUUCAGUGCUGCAGUUAACGCAAUAAGUAUUCCGCCUGGGGAGUAUGCACGCAAGUGUGAAACUCAAAUGAAUUGACGGGG
rnacentral:rRNA from 1 species